rnacentral:lncRNA from 1 species
CAGCUUUAGUAUCUUGUUUUCUUGAUGGUAAUAAUUAUUCUACUUAGAAAAGAGACAUGAGAAAUGCAUCCUUGCCAAAAACAAAUAUUGCUUCGUUGAUAGAUCCUUCUCAAAACCAUCAGCUCCUCUCUUAGAUGUCCAAGCCUAAGAAAAAUGUAAUUCCAUGGUUGUUUCAUAGAUUUUCAACUUUGCAAGAGACCUCCAUAAUAGUGUUCCCUAUGUUGACAUGGCUCAAAAAAUAUGGAAGGAUCUUGAAGAAAGGUUCUCUCAAGAAAAGGAGACCCCUACGCAGUGACAUUGCUUUGCAUGAAUAAAGACGACAAUAUGUCAUUGGAUAUUUCACCAUUCUUAAAGGUUGUUGGGACAAGCUAGGAAUCAACAUGCCAAUUCUUUUCCUAAGUAUGGAGCAUCAAAAGUUUUUGUCACCAUAGUCAACCGUGAAAAAGUUUAUCAGUAAUUGAUGGGGUAGAAUGAUAAUUUUGCCACCAUUCUCACACAAAUAUUAGCAACGAAUC